UACAUUUUGCAAAAUCUACAAUGGCAGCGAAAGAGUUCACCUAGCUGUUAAUGGAAGACUAUGGGGCCGUUCUCUCUUAAAUUUUGCCCAAGACUUGAUUUGAGGGAUCGUUUGAAAGAGCAACCUUACAUGAUGCUUAAGAGGUGUGGUCAAAUUUUGAUACUAUAACUCGUGGGAUCUCAUGGCCCUUGAGACUGCAAAGAGUUCUAAAUCCCCUGCCCUCAUGUUUCUGCUGGACCAAAAUUCUAGUCCCAGUUAAGUUGGUGAAAUUUGCAGAACUCCCUAAUUUUAUAUUCCC
rnacentral:lncRNA from 1 species